GGUUGGUCCGAGUGCAGUGGUGUUUACAACUAAUUGAUCACAACCAGUUACAGACUCCUUUGUUCCUUCUCUACUACUUCACCUGACCAGCCUGAA
rnacentral:Y_RNA from 1 species